rnacentral:rRNA from 2 species
CCUAAAGGCGUAAUGAAAGUAAAGAUCGUCCUUGCGUCGAUCGAGGGAGGAUGAGUUGUGUUAUGAUACAGCUCCGCACUCCCGGGGCGUCUCAUUCUUAUUACAAGAAGAGGCGCACCUAGAGCGUACACGUUGGGACCCGAAAGAUGGUGAACUAUGCCUGGUCAGGACGAAGUCAGGGGAAACCCUGAUGGAGGUCCGUAGCGAUUCUGACGUGCAAAUCGAUCGUCGGAACUGGGUAUAGGGGCGAAAGACUAAUCGAACCAUCUAGUAGCUGGUUCCCUCCGAAGUUUCCCUCAGGAUAGCUGGCACUCGUGUUUAUACGAGUCUCAUCUGGUAAAGCGAAUGAUUAGAGGCCUUGGGGCCGAAACGACCUCAACCUAUUCUCAAACUUUAAAUGGGUGAGAUCUCUGGCUUGCUUGAAUAUAUGAAGCCAUGAGAUUUCGGAUCAGAGUGCCAAGUGG